rnacentral:rRNA from 1 species
GACGAACGCUGGCGGCGGGCUUAACACAUGCAAGUCGAACGAAGUGGCGAACGGGUGAGUAACGCGUAAUCCACCUGCCCUUCAGAGGGGGACAACAGUUGGAAACGACUGCUAAUACCGCAUACUGAAGGAGGGGAUUGCGUGUGAUUAGCUAGUUGGGGGGGUAACGGCCCACCAAGGAGAUGAUCAGUAGCCGGUCUGAGAGGAUGAACGGCAACAUUGGGAAUGAGACACGGGCCAGAAUCCUACGGGAGGCAGCAGGGGGGAAUCUUCCGCAAUGGACGAAAGUCUGACGGAGCAACGCCGCGUGAGUGAUGACGGCCUUCGGGUUGUAAAGCUCUGUUAAGCGGGACGCGGUACCGGAAUAGAAAGCCACGGCUAACUACGUGCCAGCAGCCGCGGUAAUAC